rnacentral:lncRNA from 1 species
AGAUUCACAGCAGAAGGAAGAAGAUGUUGUGACUGGCCCCUGCAUCUCUGAGUCAGUGAGUGACCUGCAACCCUUAGCACAAGAACUUUUGUUUGUGUCUCUGGAAGUUGGACAGCCUGGGACAGAACAAGGUACCUCAGUGUCACUUCAUCAGGAGCUGAAGAAUCCAUGUUAUCAGCUCACUCUCUACAGAAUGGCACAGCAGGAAACAUCAGGUCACCAGAGCAUCUGGAAUCAACUUCUUGAGCCCUGGAAAUGAGGUUAGUGGAAGAAUAUUAUCUUCUGAACCCGAGUUUCACUUCUGC